rnacentral:rRNA from 1 species
CGGGAAACCGGAGCUAAUACCGGAUAAUAUUUUGAACCGCAUGGUUCAAAAGUGAAAGACGGUCUUGCUGUCACUUAUAGAUGGAUCCGCGCUGCAUUAGCUAGUUGGUAAGGUAACGGCUUACCAAGGCAACGAUGCAUAGCCGACCUGAGAGGGUGAUCGGCCACACUGGAACUGAGACACGGUCCAGACUCCUACGGGAGGCAGCAGUAGGGAAUCUUCCGCAAUGGGCGAAAGCCUGACGGAGCAACGCCGCGUGAGUGAUGAAGGUCUUCGGAUCGUAAAACUCUGUUAUUAGGGAAGAACAUAUGUGUAAGUAACUGUGCACAUCUUGACGGUACCUAAUCAGAAAGCCACGGCUAACUACGUGCCAGCAGCCGCGGUAAUACGUAGGUGGCAAGCGUUAUCCGGAAUUAUUGGGCGUAAAGCGCGCGUAGGCGGUUUUUUAAGUCUGAUGUGAAAGCCCACGGCUCAACCGUGGAGGGUCAUUGGAAACUGGAAAACUUGAGUGCAGAAGAGGAAAGUGGAAUUCCAUGUGUAGCGGUGAAAUGCGCAGAGAUAUGGAGGAACACCAGUGGCGAAGGCGACUUUCUGGUCUGUAACUGACGCUGAUGUGCGAAAGCGUGGGGAUCAAACAGGAUUAGAUACCCUGGUAGUCCACGCCGUAAACGAUGAGUGCUAAGUGUUAGGGGGUUUCCGCCCCUUAGUGCUGCAGCUAACGCAUUAAGCACUCCGCCUGGGGAGUACGACCGCAAGGUUGAAACUCAAAGGAAUUGACGGGGACCCGCACAAGCGGUGGAGCAUGUGGUUUAAUUCGAAGCAACGCGAAGAACCUUACCAAAUCUUGACAUCCUUUGACAACUCUAGAGAUAGAGCCUUCCCCUUCGGGGGACAAAGUGACAGGUGGUGCAUGGUUGUCGUCAGCUCGUGUCGUGAGAUGUUGGGUUAAGUCCCGCAACGAGCGCAACCCUUAAGCUUAGUUGCCAUCAUUAAGUUGGGCACUCUAAGUUGACUGCCGGUGACAAACCGGAGGAAGGUGGGGAUGACGUCAAAUCAUCAUGCCCCUUAUGAUUUGGGCUACACACGUGCUACAAUGGACAAUACAAAGGGCAGCGAAACCGCGAGGUCAAGCAAAUCCCAUAAAGUUGUUCUCAGUUCGGAUUGUAGUCUGCAACUCGACUACAUGAAGCUGGAAUCGCUAGUAAUCGUAGAUCAGCAUGCUACGGUGAAUACGUUCCCGGGUCUUGUACACACCGCCCGUCACACCACGAGAGUUUGUAACACCCGAAGCCGGUGGAGUAACCUUUUAGGAGCUAGCCGUCGAAGGUGGGACAAAUGAUUGGGGUGAAGUCGUAACAAGGUAGCCGUAUCGGAAGGUGCGGCUGGAUCACCUCCUUU